rnacentral:lncRNA from 1 species
GUGAAAUCACCAAGUCUGUAGAAGCUAAUGGCAGAAAAAAAUUCACUUUAAAUCACAAGAAUUCAGAAAACUUUUCAGCCACAAACUCAAGCUUGUUCAGCACCCAAAGGUUUGCACUGGAGAAAUGAGUUUUGAGCCUAGCAAAUGCCAACAAGCCUUACAAGAUAAGUAUUCACUAGAGCCAUCCCAGAAAGUUCACACUGAAGAAAGACAUUAUGAGUGUAGUGAAUGUGGGAAAUCCUUUAGCCAAAAGGUCACACUUACUAUAAACCAGACUCUUCACCCUGGAGAAAAACCCAUACAUAUAUGGCAAAUGUGAGAAGUCUUUCAUUCAAAGCUCAAAC